rnacentral:lncRNA from 10 species
CUGCCUCACUGAAGCACAGGAAGGACCCAGGCCCCAGACCAUCACCCACCCCAGGGCUGGGCCCUGGGCCACUCCUGGCUCACUCCAGGGCCCCUGUUGUUUGAAGAUGGUACCAAAGGCUGGAAGACUCUUGCUAGGGAAGAUAACGUAAAUGCAUUCAAAAGACAGGGUACCACAUGAUGCUAGGGAAAGUGCGUCAUGACCGCAGGGUAGCAGCCUGCUCCUGUCACUAGGGAUGUGAAUCUGGGGAGACACUUCCCCUCACUGAGCCAUCUGUAAAAUGAGAGCAUUGGACUGGGUGAGGCAGGCUGUGCAAAACACUUAUACACCUUAGUCCCAUGAGGAAGGAGUAUUCCCCCUGCAUAUUUUGGGGGGAAACUGAGGCUCAGGGGGAUGAAGUACUUUGCUCAGGGUAACACAGCCAGGAAGGAGCAGAGCAAGGCCAUGAGCUUUGGAUUUUUCUGUUUCCAAUGUCUCCUCUACCGUGCUCAAUUAGAUGAUGAGAAACAGUUGGUGUCUGAUGCUGGCCAAUAAGAGAAAAGAAAGCUCAAGUGGGCUGGGGCUGUCAGGGAGGGCUUCAUGGAGAGGCUGUCUUGAAAAUGACAGAGGUCAAAAGAAAGGUCACUCCAAGACGCAGCUGCCAGAAUGGUCCAACACAGUGAGGAGUUGUGUCUGGAUGGGCCAGUGGAACGGGGGAAGUGAAGGUUGAUAUAAGUGGAGGUUGAGGCAGUUUAGGCGUGAUGUACAGUCCAGCCACAGCAGGUUCUUGAGCAGGAGGGUAGCAUAGUGAGCAUCAGGUUCUAGGAAGAAGCACCAGUUCAGCCAUCAGAUGGGGCAGGAUGCCUCCCAGCUACUCCUCUCCCCGAGAAGGAAUUGCCCCCGGAGCGGCCCUCAUUUAUUCCAGGAGAAGCCAGGCCCUGCUGCUUCAGUUUCCAUCCUCACUGACGCAGAUAAUCCAAAGAGUCACUUCAGCUGCUUGGAACAGCAGGGUUGGGUCUUGUGCUACCUGAUUCUUAAUUUGGCUGAUGUCUACCCCAUUUCCUCCAGGCUUCUCUAGAGGUGGCAGGGGUGGGGUGGGGAGAAAGCUGCCAGACACCAAAGGAGCUGAGCCUGGCGGGGGCGGGCGUGCGGGUGGGCAUGAGAAAUUGCUCAGGAAACCCAUCCCUGCCCUGGUCACCCUAGUCCUGGAGAGAUCACCCAGACAUGUUGGAAUGAGUCUGGGGUCCUGUCUUUUCCAAUAAUGUGUUAUCCUGGGGAAACCCAGAGGGAAGUUGAGGGAGCCCCACUGUGCUGUGUGAUGCUACAUACGCAUGCGAAUACACCACCGGGUGGCCUUGACCCAGCCUUCUGCAAAAUGGCUUCUGCCAUCAAACUUAAGGUGGAGAAUGGUCUUGCAGCUGCCAGUUUUUCCUUCAGAGAAACUAAGGUCAGAGUGUUGGCUGCAGAAAAGGACUUGGCCUUUGUCACAUAACAGGAAAGAGAGUCAACUCCGGGCACACCCCCUCGGAGGCUAAUCUCAGGAGGUUGGAACCACAGGGAUUGCAAUAAUCGCUGAAUACUUACCAUAUGCCAGGUGCCAAAGCAUUAUCCUCUCCACUUUAUGAGUGAGGAAACUGAUUCCCAGAGGUGAUUCCCAGAAGAUUCCAACCAGGCCAUCUGUCUGUAGUCCUUCCUUCCCACCUCCUGGGAUUUCUCAAAAUGUUUGCCAUCGCCCACCUGUAUCAGAAUCUCCUGGGCUAUUUAUUGUUUAACUUGCAGACUCCUGGGCGCCACCCCAACCCCCUAAAUCAGAAUCCCUGGGGUUGGGCCCAAGAGUCUCCAUUUUUUGACAAGCUCCUCCAGGAGAUUCCUCCAGACAUGGAAAUCCUCACUUGACUCUUCCCCCAUAACAAACUGCCCUGAUGUCUGCAGAGAGAGGGUCUGCUGUAGACAGGGAUUAAGAAAAAGCAGGACAUUUUCAGAUAGGAUGCCCAAACCCAGACGCAGAUUAGGACCCAUGAAGUAGGGGGUAGAGCUGACCCUCAGGAAUGUGCCCAGACAGAGCUAAGCUUUCAGGAAAAUUAGAAAGACCCUCAGACCCAGAGUCUGUCUGAGUUUAGCUUCGCAGCAUGAAGGCUGCCUUGAGAAAGCUGAUAUAACAAGAAGCAGCAGAAAUUUAAUACUUUGGAGGGGCCCAGCAACCCACUCAGGGCCACCCUGGGAGACCCCACAGACCCCAAGGCUAUGGUCCAGACCUGUUCACUCAACACCUGGCCAGGCGGGGCCUCCAGCUGGACCUAGAGCUACAGAUGCCCCACCACCACUACCAAGCCCGGCUACCCAGACCAAGACACGGCUUUUCCUGGAGGAGAGAGAGAGCAAAGGCCCUGUCUCUACCCAAGACCUAACGGCCCCUGUUGAAGGAGAGGGAGCAGGAGAGGGAGGAGGGAGGAGGUCACAGCCAGGACCACAUACACUCUUGGGGGCCCUGCUGAGACUGCAAGAGUCAUGAAUUCUAACGUUCCACAGGUGAAAGAUUCCAAGAUUCUAGGAUUGCAAAACCCCAUCAUUCUAAGAUUCCAAUGGAAUGAUUCCAUGUUUCUAAGAUUCCAUCACACUAUGAUUCUAUGCUGCUAAUUCUUGAAAUUUCGAGUCUCAUUGUUCGUUGCUGUUCCCCAGACCUGUGGGCCCUAGCAUUUUUUUAAAAGCACAAAAAAAAAAGAGCAAGAAAGAGAGAAAGAGAUGGGGAGGGAGACAGCUGAAAACAGAUACUAAGAAAAGCUCCAUCCCUUGGAUCUGAGUUACAGAUGCACCUUGGCAAGGGCCAAAGACCCUCCUUUUGAGUGGGGUGCAGAACGUCUUUCCCUGGUAGAGUGGCAGAAUUGCAUGCAUCAGGCCUUCCUGGGGGUAAAAGGGGCUGGCUGUUCCAGGCUACAGCUGAGUAAAGCCCCACACAGGCCACAGUGCCCACUGGCUGGUGGACCUAGGAACCAAGCAGGGCCCCACUGGCUCAGUCUGGGGAGGGACUCAUCUGGGGUGGAAUUUCCCUCCCUGCAGCAAGGAAGCUGCAGGGCCAGGAAUUUGCCUUGGGAGACCCCCACUGAGGAAUAUUUCCGAAGCAGAACCCCUUCCUAUUCAGAGCCAGAGUCUUAACACUGGACAACCACAGGGUGUUGCUGCAAACUCCAGAGCCAGGUGCCUUCCCUCUGACAUUUGGGACAUAGCUUCCAUGGCCACACAGCCUUCGCCCCCUUCCAAGACCCCCCUUGACCUUUCUAAUCUUAGUCACUGCCUUCCAGAGCUGGGAGGCCACACGGCAGAGGUGCCUGUGAAUCACUCCGUCAUCAGCCUGGCCGCUUUCCCCUCUGUGGAGAGGGACUCUGAUGGGCAGGGGGCACCAAGUUGAGCCUCUGAGGCUGGCCCAGCAUAGGCCAGGCAGGGACAUUCACUCACAACCAGCCUUUUUGGACUCUAGAGAAGAGUAAUUACCACUUGGUCAUGCCCAGCCCCCAAAUCAUAAUCAUAGCUGCUAUUUCUUGAGUGCCAGCAAUGUGCCAGGCACCGUGCCCAACUUUUUAUACACAAU